rnacentral:rRNA from 1 species
UUCAGCAUACUGUCCUGAAAACCUCUGAUCUUGUCUCAUUUCAGGAACUAAGAAAGGUCAGGCCCGGUUAGUACCUGAAUGGGAGACUCCCGAGUUACAACAGGUGAGCUACAG